rnacentral:lncRNA from 1 species
AUACAAAUGUUUUCAGGUUUUACAUGUUACAUAAGUUUGAAACAAAAGAAGACAUGUAUACUCAAGUCGACUAAAAUAACUCUGAAAAAAAGAGUAGGACGAUACCAAGGAACUACCAAAUUGAUAAGUCAAAUACAAAUUGGCAACAUCAUGGCAAAACGAACAACCCGAAAAAAAGAGAAAAAAAAGCUUCCAAACACUACAUAGACUUUAAUCGAAAGAGCAACAUAAACAUCACUUUAAACCGGGGAUAAUAAUGAUCCUUCAUUAAAUCUCCAUAUGAUCAUAUGACCAAACACAUUUAGUUAAAAGAGAGGUAAAAGAAAACAAAGGGACUAUUGUCCUAUAAGUCGUAAAAAAACUGCCAAUAUCAUGUAAAAAAAAUGAAACAUUAUGAAGUCAAUCAACAGAUAAAAUAAUAAAACAUAGAAGACAAAAGACUGAGUAACAC